GAUCGAGGGAAGUUAGUACCGAAGUCUGAGAUGGAAGAUGGCGAGAAAAGCUGUGUGUAUUUCUGCGGUGCCCGUACCGCAAACCGACACAGGUAGGUAGGAAGAAGAUUCUAAGGCCAACGGGAGAAGGGUUGUUAAGGAACUCGGCAAAUUGACCCCGUAACUUCGGGAGAAGGGGUGCUCCAGAGAUGGAGCCGCAGAGAAUCGGCCCAAGCAACUGUUUACCAAAAACACAGGUUUGUGCUAAAUCGAAAGAUGACGUAUACGAGCUGACGCCUGCCCGGUGCUGGAAGGUUAAGAGGAGAUGUGCAAGCAUUGAAUCGAAGCCCCAGUGAACGGCGGCCGUAACUAUAACGGUCCUAAGGUAGCGAAAUUCCUUGUCAGGUAAGUUCUGACCCGCAUGAAAGGCGUAAUGAUUUGGGCACUGUCUCGACAGCCCGCCCGGCGAAAUUGUAGUACCGGUGAAGAUGCCGGUUACCCGCGACAAGACGGAAAGACCCCAUGGAGCUUUACUGUAGCCUAAUAUUGGGUUUCGAUGUUGCAUGCACAGGAUAGAUGGGACACAGGGAAACAAGUGCUUUGGCAUUUGUGGAGUGGCCGUUGGGAUACCAUCCUUGCGAUAUUGGAAUUCUAACCUGCGCCUUUGAAUCAAGGCGGGGGACAUUGUUAGGUGGGCAGUUUGACUGGGGCGGUCGCCUCCUAAAGAGUAACGGAGGCGUUCAAAGGUUCGCUCAGCUUGAACGGAAAUCAAGCAAAAGAGUGCAAACGCAGAAGCGAGCCUAACUGCGAGACUGACGGGUCGAGCAGUAACGAAAGUUGGAGUUAGUGAUCCGGUGGUAUGUGAGUGGAAAUGCCAUCGCUCAACGGAUAAAAGUUACCCUGGGGAUAACAGGCUGAUCUCCCCCAAGAGUCCACAUCGACGGGGAGGUUUGGCACCUCGAUGUCGGCUCAUCGCAUCCUGGGGCUGUAUUCGGUCCCAAGGGUUUGGCUGUUCGCCAAUUAAAGCGGUACGCGAGCUGGGUUCAGAACGUCGUGAGACAGUUCGGUCCCUAUCUGUCGUGGGCGCAGGAUAUUUGAUGGGAGCUGUUCCUAGUACGAGAGGACCGGAGCGGACGUACCUCUGGCGCACCAGUUGUUCUGCCAAGGGCAUAGCUGGGCAACUAUGUACGGAUCGGAUAAACGCUGAAAGCAUCUAAGCGUGAAGCCGACCCAAAGAUAAGAUAUCCCAUUGUUUCAAACAAGUAAGACCCCUUGAAGACUACAAGGUUGAUAGGCACGAUGUGUAAGUGGAGCGAUCCAUUCAGCAAGCGUGUACUAAUAGGUCGAGGGCUUGACCAC
rnacentral:rRNA from 1 species